AACAUGGCUCUUCGUUCUAUGAAGAUGAGGAGUCGGACCUGCCCAGUGAGCAGUAAGCUUUAACGGCCGCGGUACCCUGACCGUGCAAAGGUAGCAUAAUCAUUUGCCUUUUAAUUGAAGGCUGGUAUGAAUGGUUUGACGAAAACGGAGCUGUCUCUUAUCUACUAUCUAAAAAUUAAUUUUGAUGUGAAGAAGCAUUAAUAAUUCUAAAAGACAAGAAGACCCUGUUGAGCUUUAAUAAGAGAAAAAAAUAAGAAUAUGAAUCAAAAUAAUAUUUUUUUAGUAUUAUUUUAGUUGGGGCGACUGAGGAACAAAAGAGCUUCCUUUGAUUUUUAUAAUAUAUUUAUUUUGAUCCAGAAAAAUUCUGAUUAAAAGAAUUAGUUACCACAGGGAUAACAGCGUAAUCCUUUUUUAGAGUUCUUAUCGAAAAAAGGGCUUGCGACCUCGAUGUUGGAUUAAGAUUUCCAGUUGGUGCAGAAGCUUUCUUUGGUUGGUCUGUUCGACCAUUAAAAUCUUACGUGAUCUGAGUUCAGACCGGA
rnacentral:rRNA from 1 species